UACGUAGGGUGCGAGCGUUGUCCGGAAUUAUUGGGCGUAAAGAGCUCGUAGGCGGCUUGUCGCGUCGGAUGUGAAAGCCCGGGGCUUAACUCCGGGUCUGCAUUCGAUACGGGCAGGCUAGAGUUCGGUAGGGGAGAUCGGAAUUCCUGGUGUAGCGGUGAAAUGCGCAGAUAUCAGGAGGAACACCGGUGGCGAAGGCGGGUCUCUGGGCCGUAACUGACGCUGAGGAGCGAAAGCGUGGGGAGCGAACAGG
rnacentral:rRNA from 1 species